rnacentral:rRNA from 1 species
AACGUAGGAGGCAAGCGUUAUCCGGAUUUACUGGGCGUAAAGGGCGUGCAGGUGGUGGUCUAAGUGGUGCGUGAAAGCGCUCGGCUCAACCGGGCGAGGGCGUGCCAAACUGGGUCACUAGAAACAGGCAGAGGAAAGUGGAAUUCGGGGUGUAGUGGUGAAAUGCGUAGAGAUCCGGAGGAACACCAGUGGCGAAGGCGACACGCUGGGCCGUACCUGACACUGAUGCGCGACAGCAUGGGGAGCAAACAGG